rnacentral:lncRNA from 1 species
UUUCAUUGAAAAACAAGAGAUAAAAAUACAGAGAAAAAGAGGCCACUACUAUUCAAUCGAGUUUUAGCAGUUCUGCUUUAUUUUCAUAUCCAGAAACUGUUUAAUUGAUUUGGGAUGAUAAAAAUGGUUUAGACUUGUUCAUCAAAGUUUGGUGUUUGAUUCAGCUGGGUUUACUAGUUGAUGGGUUUAAUUUUCAAGCAUUUCAAGUCAUCUACCUAGGUUGUUCUUUUGCUGUUGCUGAUCUCUGCACUUUAUACUGCUAAUUCCUCACUUUUCCCUUUGCAUUUUCAUUCCCAGGUACAUACCUUGAUCCUAAAAUGUAAAGGUUAAUUCACUUGUCAUGAAAAAAUGAAGAUCUCUCUGUCUGCUGAUUAUUCUCCUCUUCUUUCUAUUUCUGUUCUGUUUUCAUUCGAAUUGCUAAGUCAUGUUUUCUGUUAGAGUGUUUGGAUUAAUAUAAUGCUAUGAACAUUUGAGGCUCAUUUUAGAUCUUGUAAUGGGGAAUUGGACUUGUGUUUGUUGACUUUGAUGGCUGUUUAGAUGGUUACAUUGAUGUUUGGCUUCUUCUAUUUUUUUCUCUUUUUACUUCCGCAAUAGAUAUACAGGUGCGUUUGUUACUUUUAGCUUCCAUGCUCUCAAUAUGCAUAAAUGAUAAGCUAAUGUCAUUUGAGAAAUGUGAAUGAUUGGGCUGAAGUCCUGAUUUUGAAUAGUAGUAAUGUUUUCUCUUGUUUUCAUCUCAUUUCAGCGAGUCAGAACUUAGUUUAGACAUGCACAGUGCUUAUCCUUUAUGAGUGAUCAGUUAUGCAAGUUAUAUUUGCUUAUGAAAUUCAGUUGUGUCCCACAUAAAAACUAAGGCUAAUAUAUAAGUAAUUGGACAUCAACGUAUGAUUUGCAUUAGAGAUCAUUAUGGUUUGGAAAUCAUGCAUACAUGUUCUGUAGUUAUGUUUGUUCCUGAAUGUUGUUAAGACAUCCAAUAAUUAGAUUGAGAGUUCUAGAAUGAUUUUUGGGGUUCAACAGAAAUUGGAUUCUAAUGUGUUAUUUUGUUGGCUGUCAAUGUUAAGGUGAAGUCAAUUCAGCUUAGUCAUUGAAAUGAUUUAUUGUUUGUCUAUUGUUGCCAAUAUUAGCAGAGUUGGUUAUUUAGGUCAAUGGUUAAAAUCUUACUGGUUGUGUUCAUGUGAGUUUUUAAUGUUGGCAUUUGAAGUUAAUCUAAGGCGUCGAAAAUUUGAAUUCACAUGCUGUAUAGUUCUCUCGAAAUUGGCCUCCUGCUUGUUCUCAAAUCAUGGAAUAGUUAAAGUUUUCUUGUAGUUGUCCAUUUGUCCGUUAAGGGUGUUCUAUAACUAUGGCAUAUAUGGUAUUUCCACAAUUAUUUUCUACUAUUUCAUCCCCUAUUUGCAUGUUGCAAGGUGGCAAUAUUGAGCUCAACUUGUGAUAACUUCAUGUCUUUGAAAUUGGGAUCACCUUGGACCCAUUGAGUACGGUUAAGGUCAUUUGAACAUUCCAAUGACAAAUUUCUUGUUAGAGAAGUUGUAUUCUCAUUGAAAUUCAAUAUAAUUUAAGGUCCUCACUUACCUAGAGACUCGAUCUCAAGUCCAACAUGAUUAAUGCUCACCCUUAAAAUAUAGGGUCCACAUUGGGCCUAAGUUGAGGACUAGCCCUCAUUUCAUCAUAUGCAGAGCCGUUUGUUCAAGCCCAUGUUCUGAAAUGAAAUACACAAUAGAUUUCACCUAGUCUUUCCCCCUUUAGAUUCACAAUUGAAUUCAACCAUGGUUUAAAAUAGGCGUGAUUCCAUAAACAUUAUUUAAUUAAUGGAUUGUGCCUUUGAUUAAAUAAGGUGUGCCAUUCAAAGCCAAUAAUAGUUAAUGGACCCAGAAGUUAGUUUAAAAAUGUUUUGGUUAGAAUAAAUUGAGGUGCACCACUUAGCGAAUUUUUGUGGCCCUCGCAAACUUAAAAAUACGUAAUUGCCUUAGGCAUGCUAGUUAAAUAAUUUACCUUCUUAAAUUUGGGUGUGCAUUAAUGUGACCCAAAUCCAAAUCCCAACGAUGUCAAAAUAUGUAAAAUCCACGGCUAAAUUUAUGUGACGUGGUUCGAGGCGUGUUUAACGACGUUGCAAUUUUCUUUAAAACUUAUUAUAAAAGCAGGUAAAAGUUAAAAUUGGAACACAUGUAUAAAUGCGUUAAAAUUAUAUAAUAAGACAAAUAUAAUAGUUAAGUGACCGUGCUAGAACUACAGAACUCGGGAGCGUUUCAAACCUUCUCCCGGGUUAACAAAAUUGUGUACCCGGAUUUCUGGUUCGCAGACUGUAAAAUGGAGUCAACCUUUUCCUCGACUCUGGAUUUAAACCGAUAACUUGGGACACCAUUAAUUAUCCCAAGUGGACACUCUAAAAAUCUCUUAAAUAAUUGAAUCCUGUUUUGAUUGUCCUUAAAUUGGAAAAAAAUCCAUUAUCCACGCCCUUUGUUGGGGUUGUAGUAUUUUUUUUUUGGCAAAACCGCUAAGCGAAGCCUAGGGUUGAAAUUUUAUUAAUAACAGAAAAUUAAAGAUACAAAAUACAACAUAAAAACAUGAUCGUGCCAACUGACUUGACACGACUAACAUUUUAUGAUCAUCACAAAGUUUAUAACUACUCUGUGAUGAGAUUACAAAAGUGGAUACCAAUAAAAUGGUAGAAUAGUAUGUAGUAUUCAGUUGAAUGUUGUCCCUUAUUAUCCAAUCUUGUAUAACCAUCAAGUUGAAUUUCAGUUUCGUUUACCAGAAAUUCAACUUGAUACAAAAAAAGAGGAGUGACAGCCGUGGCGACUUUGCUGGGGAAUGAACCCAGAAUCUCUGGUUACACUCCAAAUCUUGUAUAACCAUCAAGUUGAAUUUCUGUUUCGUUUACCUCUAACUUGUUGAAAAAGAAAUCAAAAAUCAUCUUUUACUUUUUGACCGGUUGGAUUUUGAUGACGAAGUUGUAGCAGCCUGCUUUUGUUUGGCCGCUCUCAUUGGAAUUUUCCUAACAUUUGGUUUCUUGUCGGACCAUGUUGCAUUUUUCAUCAAGAUAGCACCUGACUUACUUGUUCCAAUGUGGCCAUCCACAGUGUUUGGUGGUGUACAUGUUGCAUUUUUCAUCAAGAUAGCACCUGACUUACUUGUUCCAAUGUGGCCAUCCACAGUGGUUGGUGGUGUAUCUAGGAAAUGAAUGCAUGUGCAAAAAGGAGGCUUACUUGGAAUAAAAUAUGGAGCCUCCCACUUGGUCUUUAACUUUCCAGUUAAAUUGUUUCCAAUAGAUGGAGUUUGAAUUGCAUUCUUGAUUACUCUUUCUACUCGCUGAUUUUUGAAAUGAAAGCGUUGUUUAAGCAUAUUUUCCUGCUCUCUUUUCAAAUUUGCGCAAAACUGUCUUUGAUCUUUCCACAACUCCGAGUUAGUUAAGACAACAUUAGAGACAUCGACGGCUGCUAUACCUUUAGAAGUAGCAACACUAUGUUGUGUUUUUACCAUAUGAGGCAUUGGUGUUGUUUUAUACAUUUCAGUCUCAUUAUCCUGGAAAUUACAUCCAGUUACAUCCUCAGGACUCCUAGCAGCAUUUCUCUGCCCAGGCAAUGCAUUGUUUUCCUUCAAAUUAAUGAUUGGAGAAAUGUGAUUGUUGGUCAUGAGCAGGUUCUGUCCAGUGCAACUUCCAUUAGUAGCUGGCCGCAAAUCUGCACAGUGAGCAUUGUUUUUGAGUUUUGGAAUUGAGUUUCUGUUUGGCUUCAAAGAGUAGUUAUUUGCAGAAUGAUGAGCAUUUUCGAAAGUUUGUUGAGUAGUAUCCAACCCUCGUUGAGUUACUGCUUCAUUAGAGCUUAGCUGCUGCUGCUCGAUCAUCUUCUCUUUAGUGGAAUUUGCAUUGCCAUUUUCUGGCAUAACAGAUGUAUCUGUAGGAUUUUGAAUUGAUACUAUCUUUUCAUUUCCCAUAAUGGCAGAGACAUUUGAAUCCCCCUUUGGCUUUGGAAGAUCUUUUGCAGAUAUAGCCUUUGUAACUGAAUCAUUAUUUUUAGCUCUUAACUAAUGCACAUUGCAACCGUGCUGCUGUUCAUCAAGUUUAAAUACAUGUCCAGCCUGUGCAAUAGAAGUAAUGUGAUGUGCAUAGGACUGUAUUGUGCCUGCAGUAACCACAUUUGGUACCAUGAUUUCACCUACAACCUUCAAUCUUGUCCCAGUAGUAUUAACAUUUGAUACCAAAUUCUCUUUUACAAUCUUUAAUGGAACAGUGUUAUGCAUUUGACUAAACUGAGUAGGAUCACCCUUUGGCUUUGGAAGAGUUUCUGCAGAUUUGUCAUUUGAAGUAGAAUCACUUUUUUGAUUUCCUAACUGCUACACAUUGCAGCUGUGGUGCUGUCCAACAAUAUCAACCAUCUGCCCAGCCUCCUCCA